UUUUACUCUCAUUAUUUCCAACUAGUAGACGGUAUUUUCGGUCUACGAUUGCCAAACCCUAGAAUGCAUUUUUAAGCCGCAGACACACAACACAUAAGUUGUUCCGUCUAUGUAAAUAGCGAACCAAACGAUGCUCGCAAAUCUAUCUGUCGGGGGAAGUGAUGAGCAACUUCAUACCGGUAUGUCACAAUUCAUAUAUAUAUAUAUAUGUCUAUAUAUGUAUGUAUGUAUUUGUGUGUAUUUUGCCUCUCCUUUCAGCUGCAAAGGCAUAGAUCUGAUGAUUUGUUUCUUGAUGGCUGCAAAGGCAUAGAUCUGAUGAUCUGUUUCUUGAUGGCUUUGUUCUAGAGGCAUAUAUUUAAUCUCCAAAGUUUUAGGGGUUUUGUUUAAACCAAUGGCGGAUUUGGGGGGAUGAUAUGCCGAUAUGGGUUUUGAUAUAGGUAAUAGGUUUUGAACUUUUGAUAAACUGAAAUAUAUGGGUUUUGAACUUCUGAUUCUUGUAGAUUUUGUAGUUUGCAGUUGCAGAGAGAGUUGAGAACGAGAAUAGAGAUGGAGGCGAUUGGGGAGGCUGAAAUAUAUAUAUAUUUUUUUCUGGCGGCCCAUCAUUCAUGGUCCUAUAAAUUUUGGGGCAAUUUUUUUUUUUUUUUGGGAAGCCCUCCCCUAAAUCCGCCCUUGGUUUAAACCAGAGUUGUGGUUCUUGCUACUCUGAUCUCUCCCCUUAUUUGGUACAUUUCCAUUAGAAAAUUAAUUUAUUUUGCUUUUCUGUAGUAGCUUUGUGCUCCGUUUGGUUGCUUUUCUGUAGAUAGCGGAGGCUGCGCCCUGUGGAGUGUCGAAGCAGAUUGUGUCCUCUGAAACUUGCCCUAACUUAUUAUUAUUAUUUUUUUCCAUCCCGCAUGGGCCUCAAAAUUUGACGCCUCUAAAAUUUGAGGCCCAAGGCGACCAAGACUUUUCCUAACUUAAUUUUUUUUUUUUUUUUUUUCCCAUCCUCUAUGGGCCUCAAAAUUUGAGGGGCCUAAGUUGUUCCGUCUAUAUAUAUAGCGAACCAAAUGAUUCUCGUAAAUCUCUCUUGUGGGGGAAGUGAUGAGCAACUUCAUACAGGGAAAUGGUAGGCGCAGUUGUUUGGCAACCAGUUGCACAAGUGAAUGGAGGCUUUACACUAUUUGAGUAGUUUAUUGUAAACAAAAAAAUAAACCGAGAUUCCCUUUCAUGCUGUUCUUAGCUGGUUUGGGACCAUGUGACAUUUAGGCAAAGCAUGUAGUAAAGAUUGCAUAUUUACUUUUUUGUUUAUAGGGAAAUGGUAGGAGCAGUUGUUUGGCAACCAGUUGCACAAGUGAAUGGAAGCUUUAAACUAUUUGAGUAGUUUAUUGUAAACAAAAAAUUAAACUGAUAUUCCCUUUCAUGCUGUUCUUAGGUGGUUUGGGAUCAUGUGAUCUUUGCUAAUCACAAAAUACGCCAAAUGUGUCGGCAUUUUGUGAUUGGUCAAUACCACAUGAUUACAGACUACAUAAUACUUUCUAGAUCCUCAAUAUCUUUAUAUAUGAAACUUUUUCAAGAUCUACACAUGGCAUUUAAUGUGAUAAAUUAACUGAAAUUCUGGCAAGGAAAAUGAUUCUUAGUGUUAUGCUGAUUUCCCUUCGAUGUAGUGGAUAAGACCCACAUUUGAGUUUAUCCACCACAUCAAAGGGAUAAAAAUCCAGGCUUGACAGUUCAACCUAACAAAUAGGCAUGAGUAUCACUACUCUUCUAGCAAAGCUUGUCCAACUGUCAAUAAUCAACUUCACUUACUUUUCACUACAGUCAUACAAGAAAAGUACUAAAACACUAACAAAAAUAAUAAUAAAAUUAAUGUUACUAUUAUUAAUGGUAGCGCAGAGUGGAUAGAUAAUAAAGCAAAUGAGUAUUAAAUCCAACAGUGCACAAAUAUUCUAGGAAUAAUGACUUUUUUUAAUGUCUAAUUGUUAAGUCAGACACUUUAUGCAAUUAUUUGUAAACUUCUUUGACUUUAUUCUACUAAUAGGUAGUACGCCCAUAUUAAAAUAAAUGAUCAUAAUUCCUUAAAAUAACAUUAAACUCCUGCAUUAAAAGAAGUUAUAAUAAUUUCUGAAAAUCUCAUUAAAUGCAUUCUAAACUAUUUUAUUUUUGAUAAUAUCUUUUAGAAAUAAUAUUUGAUUAAUUAUCGUAAAUUUAAAACCCUUAUUAUUGGAUUUGGUUUGAAGGUAGAAUUUAGGGAGAAAAAGAAGAGUGAAACACAGAAUGAAAGUGUGUUGAGCUAUCCUUUACAACAUCGAUAAUGGUGGCAGUGUAGUAAAUUUAUCAAAUUGAAAGGGCAUGUCAACUUUUUACUUUUGUUUUAUUCAUAAACUCAAAGUAAGGUGCUUUUGUUCUUAACUGGUGCUGCGAGUGUGAUGCUUGUUAAGCGACUGUGACUAGCAUUUUUCUUAUUUAUAAUGCAAAAUUCUAUGAACAUCUUUUGCCUUAUUUUUAGAUUUGUGCGUUCCUUGAUAUUGUGGAUUUUAAUUCUUUUUAAACAUAUAAGCUCCUAUUUGAUAUAUUAGUUUCAAAGUCACUACUUAAAUUGCUUUUUACGGCAUUAAAAAAGGAUUAAGAUACAUAAAGUUGAAAAUCCUCAAAAUUAUCUUAAGUUGAAUCAUUGUGUUUAUCCAUUAUCCAUUUAUUCUUAAUGCUGUUGUGACACAAUGCCUCUCCCCUUUCGGCUGCAAGGACAGAGAUAUGAGUAGGAUCAAUUUGUUGAUAGCUUUGUUAUGAAGGCAUAUAUUAUUAUUAUUAUUAUUUAUAUUAUUAUUAUUAUUUUUGUCUUUAUUAGAAAAAUAUUGAUAAUUUUUAGUAAAAACAUUUCUAUAUGUCCAUAUUCUACUCAUAGUUACUGAAAAGUUGAGGAAUAUGAGAUCUUAAAGCUUUGGUAUGUCAAGUAAGUUGGUAUGCAAAGUUGGCCUUAGUUUUGGAUAAUAUGAUGCUAGAUGUUGGUUUUGGAGGAUAUAAUUCUAAAUAUUAGUUUGGAGAAUAUAAUUGUAAAUGAUUGUGUUUAAUGAUUUGCUUACUGAAAAAAUUGCUUAUUACCUUGCUAGUGUUUUGGUAGGUUUCUGAUUUGUGUUGGAUUCUUAGUUUAGAAUCAGUUGCUUGGUUUGGAAACAUUUGUUUCUAUAAUAUUUGUAAUAAUUUUUGGAAAAUAUGGUCUUCAUGAAUCUAUCUUACCAGCCUACUAUGCUCUGAGUUGGUAAUGACAAUUGUGGAAAUAAUUCGAUAACUAGGGUUGUAACAGUCAGGAACUGUACAUUUUCUUUCACAUCACUUUUCUAUCGGAUUCCUAAUCAAAAUGAUCUGUCUAUUUAUUUUUUAAGAAUUUAUGUUACAUGGACUCGUGGAGGGUGCAGGGAUGGGUUUUAUUUAUUCUGUAAUUUUUUUAUUUUUUAUUUUUUAUUCUUUCAUUCAAAGUAAUAGAAAGUGUCGCAUUUUAAACGCAUUUUUCUAAGCAUUAGCUUGACUUCUACCCAAGCACAGCAGAUUGUAUUAUAUAUAUAUAUAUAUAUAUAUAUGUAUGUAUUUAUGUAUUUAUGCCUCACCUUUCAGUUCCAAUGGCAUAGAUUUGAUGAUCUGUUUCUUGA